rnacentral:tRNA from 1 species
GUGUAGCGGUUAGCACGUCUGCUUUACAUGCAGAAGGUCCUGGGUUCACACCCAG